AUGGGCCCUGUCCCCAGCCAGGGACAUCACAAGGACCAUGACCCAGGCCCUCAGAAGCAGGAUAGACCCUGUCCCCAGCCAGGGACAUCACAAGGACCAUGACCCAGGCCCUCAGAAGAAGGGUAGGCCCUGUCCCCGUCCUUCGUUUAAAUGGAGCUGUGUGUGGAAGGCCCUGUGCCUUAAGUACCUUGAUUGCUUCCACAUGAGGUGCUAGCUUUGUUCUCCCAAAACAGCUACCUUCAUGAAAUCACACCUGCAGCACAAGAGUUGUGUGCCUCAUUGCCAGCACAGCA
rnacentral:lncRNA from 1 species